UACGAAGGGGGCUAGCGUUGCUCGGAAUCACUGGGCGUAAAGCGCACGUAGGCGGCUUUCUAAGUCAGGGGUGAAAUCCUGGAGCUCAACUCCAGAACUGCCUUCGAUACUGGAGAGCUCGAGUCCGGGAGAGGUGAGUGGAACUGCGAGUGUAGAGGUGAAAUUCGUAGAUAUUCGCAAGAACACCAGUGGCGAAGGCGGCUCACUGGCCCGGUACUGACGCUGAGGUGCGAAAGCGUGGGGAGCAAACAGG
rnacentral:rRNA from 1 species